GACGAACGCUGGCGGCGUGCCUAAUACAUGCAAGUCGAACGCACAGUUUAUACCGUAGCUUGCUACACCAUAGACUGUGAGCUGCGAACGGGUGAGUAACGCGUAGGUAACCUGCCUGGUAGCGGGGGAUAACUAUUGGAAACGAUAGCUAAUACCGCAUAAUAUUAAUUAUUGCAUGAUAAUUAAUUGAAAGGUGCAAUUGCACCACUACCAGAUGGACCUGCGUUGUAUUAGCUAGUAGGUGAGGUAACGGCUCACCUAGGCGACGAUACAUAGCCGACCUGAGAGGGUGAUCGGCCACACUGGGACUGAGACACGGCCCAGACUCCUACGGGAGGCAGCAGUAGGGAAUCUUCGGCAAUGGACGAAAGUCUGACCGAGCAACGCCGCGGGAGUGAAGAAGGGUUUCGGAUCGUAAAGCUCUGUUGUAAGAGAAGAACGGGUGUGAGAGUGGAAAGUUCACACUGUGACGGUAUCUUACCAGAAAGGGACGGCUAACUACGUG
rnacentral:rRNA from 1 species